UUUCUCCAUUGAAAUGUUAGGCAAAGCAGCUCUCUCGAGUCGCUCGCCUUUUCUACUCACUUCUAGAGGAUUUCACAAGCCAAAGGUGACUUACCUCGGCCGCUGAUCAUUUUGAACAGUUUGGGUCGCGCUACUGGACUUUUCUACCUAUAUACUCUGUUUUUAGUCUUUCACAAUGUUAUAUAUGUUAGAGAGAUGAAAGAAGAACCUUUUAAAGCUA